GCUUGCGAUGGUUGCUGAGGGGAGAUGCUGACUGAUCGAGCUCUGUGCUGCUGAAGGAAACUCUGAUUGUCUCUGCCUCGGGAUGUUAGCAACCCAACCAGCACUUUAACUCUGAUCUGUACAGUUCUGACUGUAAGACAGAGUGGAACUAGAGUGUGGACAAAGACAAUCCUGCUAAUCCUGAGUGCUGGUACGAGGCUGUCCAUGCCAUUUUCACCAUAAGACUCCAAUAAUCUAUAGGUUUGGAAACACAGCUACACAAAUCCGGAAUGGCUUAAACUGCUGUAAACUGUCAUAUGAUUUCAGUUUCAACUGAAUGAUUUAGUUCUACCAAUAAGGGACAGCAAAAACAAAACGAGAGCCAUACGAUCGACUGUGACCACACAAGCUCAGCUGUGAGAGAGAGAAAAAAAAGGAAACGGUUGCUGCAGAUCACAGCUAGUCUAAUACUGCUGAGAGAAGAGAAACAAAGAGAGGGAGUGAGACAAGAAGAAAAAAAAGAAGAGAAACACCCUACCUUCAGAGGCAGGGAACACACGAACCAGUGAAAGAGAUUCUGGUGUUCGCUGCAGUAUCACUGCAUUCCCUCCUGUAGAAGACAGUUUGACUAUCCCGGGUUUCGAAAUGAUGAUGUAUUUCUGGGUAGGUACACCUUGGAACUGUUUUUGUUUUCCACAUUAAGCAGCUCUCAGCUUUGUUCAAAAGACACUGCUUAGCUCUAGCAAAUGCUGAAUGACAGUCCGUUAGUUUGCAGGAGAAAAAAGGGUUAAUGGUAAUAGUUGCCUCCUUUCAACCCAUACAUUUGCAUUACAAUAGAUACCUAGGUUUGAAAACUAAACCUACUAGAUGUCACAAUUUGAUCUAUGCUUUUUACCGUUAUAUUGUGUGUGCUGAGGAAAACUUUGUGAGUGUGCAAGAGUGCGCGAUGCAGCAAAAUUCCAGUGCAGGUGGAAGUUGCCAGAGAGCUACUGCAUGCUUGGAUUUUGACGAUUCAUCUGAAUGCGAUUGAUCAGUGAUCUUUGGCUUUGGAAAAGAAACAAUGUUGAAUGGGAGCGGCUUUAAAAGAAAAAGUUCCAUUUUUUGAUUGUUGAAAUCUGAAAAAAAAAUUUCCCGAGGCACAGAAAUCAAUGCACGGGGCCUUCCAUAGAAACAUGAAUUUGUUCUACAAUUUUGGACUCAGUCAAAGUGUUAUGUAGCUGUCUGUAGGCUGUUAGUGUAAUGUAGUUGGCUGGUCUGUGAGUGUAAUCAAAUGAUUUAGCUGUUUUUUACUUUCUGAAGACAUUUAAGCAGAGAUUCAUGGAGAUAGUGGCUUAUCUGAUCACUGACACCAUUUCUUGUGUUAUUAAAGGGUAGGAGGGCAAGUGAGGCCCACUGAAAUGUGUUAAUUCGGCCCCCUUUUUCCAUUUCCUUCCAAGGUUAAAUCUGUCGCAAAAUGUACUCAUCUUUUUUUUUCCUGUAUCUUUCAUUCAGUGCUUUCCAACUAGCAGCAUGAAAAGCUUUUGUAAAACAGAUACGGUAGAAAUUGAAAUGACUGGUGUUGGUAAAAGUGGUAUUCUAGUAGACCUUUGACCCCAUGCUGCGCUGUUUUAAUCAUAUUCUUAACAGGAAUGAAUUUAACCUUCUGAAAAUGCUUUCUAAAAUUCAUUAUAGCUGUUUUGUGAUCAUGUCUUGUAUAUUUUUGUGCACAAGUUUGUAAGAACUCCCUGUGAUUAUCCAUAUGAGUAAAACAUGUUUUUCAUGUGAUAUCAAUAAUUCACUCAGUGAAGUAAUAAACUGUAAGGAAAUUUUAAUGUGAAAAAGAAAGUUUUAAGAAUUUAUGAUGUUGCUGUUAAUGACUCAGAAAAAAUGUGUUUAGGACAUAAUUAGAUUGUCGUUUCAAAACUGCUAUUUUUAAUGACAUACUUCUAAGUUAUACCUGAAUUUGAUCUAUGGUGGUCACAGUGUAUGUGUUUCUAAAAACUUUGUGUUAUCAGUAUAUGUGCAGUCAACAUACAGCUCUGUGAAAAUACUUCAAAACUGGAAACUAGUAUGGGACUUAGUGCCUCAAUAAAGUCAACAAUGAUCUUAAAAUCAAUCUAUGCUGUAGUCCUGACAUGACAGUGCAUACAUCAGCUCAGACUAGCACUGUCAUGUCAGGACUUACCUCUCUUGAAGCAUUUCACUUCAUUGUUAAUACUUCAACAAGUUUUAAGGUUAGUCUGAAUAGUGAACUUUUUUAAAAAAAAUUAUGCAAUGUAUGAUAAAAGCAUCAGUUCAAAUGUCGUAAGUUUUUGUUUGCCUUCUAGAGAAUCUAGCUUGCAAUGAGUGGUUGUAUGGAAAUAUAAGGUUGAUAGCAGUGAUGUGUCUGUCCCACAGUGUAUCUGAAAAUACUUUGAUUAUUUCUUUCCAUCACAGUAAUUAUAUUUGAUCACUGUGUGUGUUUGUGUGUGUAAAAAUUCUUUUUGCUCCCUUCACAGCCAUAACUUGCAAAUUUACUUGUAGGAAUACCGCACUGUUCUCUUUUCCUGUAUGUAUAGGUGCAUAGUGAAUGCAGUGCCUGCAGUUAUUGCACAGAUAGAAAUGGAGAUGUUGGUACUUUAUCCAUAUAUUGUUUAUCCCUUUUGUUACCAGUCAGACUCUGUGUUUCUUGCUGUGCCUCAAUUCCCCUCAUUAUAAUCCAUUUAAAAACACAAUCUUACAAAGUGAAAGUGGAGAUUAAGUUGCAAAGGAGGCAACAUAAUGAGAACAAAAAAUAAAUCUCACUCAUUUUCAUUUGAAAAAGAAAAAUGCGGGAAAUCUACUCAUUACUCGAAAGUGUCAAAUAGGCUGUGAAGUGUGUGCACUUAUUUGAAAAAAC